UAACACCAACUCAUAGUUCAUGGAACUCUUCAAAAAAUUAAUAUAUUGCACUAAUAUUCCACUGGGAAAUUUGAUAGGAUUAAAUAUGUUUAUAUUUCCUUAAUGUUUUUUUUGUUUGUUUUUUUGUUUUUGUCUUUGCACUUCCAAGGCUGGCAGUGGAACCACUGAGCUAAAUCCCUGGCAUAUUUCCUCAAUGUAAAGAAAUGAUUAAUCUAAAUGUUAAUAUAAGAAUACAUUCUUAUUAGAAAAUAAGCUCAUCUGUUCAUGGGGCAGCAGCACCACUGAACUAAAUCCCCGGCCCUGAACUUGGAUUUCUGUACAAUGGUAUUGGAAGUGAGAAAAUGUGUCAAAAUUACUGUAUAGUAUGACUCAACACUUCUAUUUGUAAGGUGUCCUGGAAAAUCUGUGAAACCUAAGCUCCUUUUGGAUUAUGAUGAUUCCCCUACAAACUACCU